GACGAACGCUGGCGGCGUGCUUAACACAUGCAAGUCGAACGAAGCUUGAUUACGGAUUCUUCGGAUGAAGUAUGAUAUGACUGAGUGGCGGACGGGUGAGUAACGCGUGAGUAACCUGCCCUUCAGAGGGGGAUAGCGUUUGGAAACGAACGGUAAUACCGCAUAAUGUAUUUUGACCGCAUGAUCGAAAUACCAAAGAUUUAUCGCUGAAGGAUGGACUCGCGUCUGAUUAGGUAGUUGGGGGGGUAACGGCCUACCAAGCCGACGAUCAGUAGCCGGACUGCGAGGUUGAGCGGCCACAUUGGGACUGAGACACGGCCCAGGCUCCUACGGGAGGCAGCAGUGGGGAAUAUUGCACAAUGGGCGCAAGCCUGAUGCAGCAACGCCGCGUGAAGGAAGACGGUUUUCGGAUUGUAAACUUCUGUUCUUAGUGAAGAAUAAUGACGGUAGCUAAGGAGCAAGCCACGGCUAACUACGUG
rnacentral:rRNA from 1 species